UCCCAAAACCAGCGAUUAACGGGAAUUCUGGGCGUAAGCGCACGCAGGCGGUUUGUUAAGUCAGAUGUGAAACCUUUAGGCACAACCUGGGAACUGCAUCUGAUACUGGCAAGCUUGAGUAAAGUAGAGGGGGGUAGAAUUCCAGGUGUAGCGGUGAAAUGCGUAGAGAUCUGGAGGAAUACCGGUGGCGAAGGCGGCCCCCUGGACGAAGACUGACGCUCAGGUGCGAAAGCGUGGGGAGCAAACAGGAUUAGAUACCCUGGUAGUCCACGCCGUAAACGAUGUCGACUUGGAGGUUGUGCCCUUGAGGCGUGGCUUCCGGAGCUAACGCGUUAAGUCGACCGCCUGGGGAGUACGGCCGCAAGGUUAAAACUCAAAUGAAUUGACGGGGGCCCGCACAAGCGGUGGAGCAUGUGGUUUAAUUCGAUGCAACGCGAAGAACCUUACCUGGUCUUGACAUCCACGGAAGUUUUCAGAGAUGAGAAUGUGCCUUCGGGAACCGUGAGACAGGUGCUGCAUGGCUGUCGUCAGCUCGUGUUGUGAAAUGUUGGGUUAAGUCCCGCAACGAGCGCAA
rnacentral:rRNA from 1 species